CUGUAAAGAAAACUGCAAGAGCUCUCGGCGAAGCACUAUUCAAUGCAGAACUUGGUAAACCAAUUGGACAGAUCACCAUGGAAAGUCCAGUAAAGGUAAUAGAUCAGAUGAUUCGAGACCCAAAUGGAGAAAUGGAUGGGUGCUUGUGACUGCAUUAUAACCAAAGCUGGACUUGGAACAAUUGCGGAGGCCUUGAUAAGGGGCCUUCCAAUCAUGAAGCAAUGGUUAG